GCUAAACGUGACCUCCAUUUCACUAUUUUAUAGAUAUAUUCCCCUCUUUCUUUGUCUUCUCUAAUUUCUAGGUUCCUGAAAGGGACCUUACCGGUUCAACAAUUAGUUUUCUUCUUCACCCAAUUUCCGGAGCCUUUUUCUAAAUCCAUAUCAGGUUUGAAAGGUUUUUGGGAAUGGAUGAGGUCAAGAAAUCAGAGGGUCAUAUGACAUCACCUGCAGCUUUUGUGGAAGGAGGAAUUCAGGAUGCAUGUGAUGAUGCUUGCAGCAUUUGUCUCGAGGCUUUCUGCGAAAGCGAUCCUCCUUCGGUAACUAGCUGCAAGCAUGAGUUUCAUCUCCAGUGCGUCCUGGAAUGGU